rnacentral:rRNA from 1 species
GACCCGUAGCAAACAGCUCAGUAACACGUGGCCAAACUACCCUAUGGACGAGGACACCCUCGGGAAACUGAGGCUAAUCCACGAUACGGCUCCCACGCUGGAAUGCGGGGAGCCGGAAACGCUCCGGCGCCAUAGGAUGUGGCUGCGGCCGAUUAGGUAGACGGUGGGGUAACGGCCCACCGUGCCUAUAAUCGGUACGGGAUGUGAGAGCAAAUAGCCCGGAGAUGGAUUCUGAGACAAGAAUCCAGGCCCUACGGGGCGCAGCAGGCGCGAAACCUUUACACUGCACGCCAGUGCGAUAAGGGGACCCCGAGUGCGAGGGCAUACAGUCCUCGCUUUUGUACACCGUAAGGAGGUGUACGAAUAAGGGCUGGGCAAGACCGGUGCCAGCCGCCGCGGUAAUACCGGCAGCCCGAGUGAUGGCCGCUGUUAUUGGGCCUAAAGCGUCCGUAGCCGGCCGAACAAGUCUGUCGGGAAAUCCAUCUGCCUAACAGAUGGGCGUCCGGCAGAAACUGUUCGGCUUGGGGCCGGAAGAUCCGAGGGGUACGUCCGGGGUAGGAGUGAAAUCCUGUAAUCCUGGACGGACCGCCGGUGGCGAAAGCGCCUCGGAAGGACGGACCCGACGGUGAGGGACGAAAGCUGGGGUCUC